rnacentral:rRNA from 1 species
CCUACGGGAGGCAGCAGUGGGGAAUAUUGCACAAUGGGGGAAACCCUGAUGCAGCGACGCCGCGUGAGUGAAGAAGUAAUUCGUUACGUAAAGCUCUAUCAGCAGGGAAGAAACACUGACCUUACGGUCAGCAGACGGUACCUGAGUAAGAAGCCCCGGCUAACUACGUGCCAGCAGCCGCGGUAAUACGUAGGGGGCAAGCGUUAUCCGGAUUUACUGGGUGUAAAGGGAGCGUAGACGGCGGAACAAGUCAGAAGUGAAAACCCGGGGCUCAACCCUGGGAGUGCUUUUGAAACUGUUUGGCUGGAGUGCAGGAGAGGUAAGCGGAAUGCCUAGGGUAGCGGUGAAAUGCGUAGAUAUUAGGAGGAACACCAGUGGCGAAGGCGGCUUACUGGACUGUAACUGACGUUGAGGCUCGAAAGCGUGGGGAGCAAACAGGAUUAGAUACCCCGGUAGUC